AUGUAUCUAUCCAGUGUUUCAACUGUUCGCAGUAUGAUUGUUGGUUCUUCCCCAGAAUUUGCACUCUCCAGACACUUGAGCUUUUUGUCUUUUACAUUAAUUAUCAUCACACAAUUUAACCCCAAAAAAUUGCAUUAUCACAGUUUCGAUCUGUGGAAAUAGCCUCUUUAAAAAAUGUACAGUAAGGCUACGUACAAUAGACCCUUGUGAUCACCCCUUUACAGGAUCUUGCACAU
rnacentral:lncRNA from 1 species